AACGAACGCUGGCGGCGCGCCUAACACAUGCAAGUCGAACGAGAAGGCGUAGCAAUACGCUUGUAGAGUGGCGAACGGGUGAGUAAUACGUGGGUGACCUACCCUCGAGUGGGGAAUAACCCGCCGAAAGGCGGGCUAAUGCCGCGUACGCUUCCGUCCUCACGGGGACGGAAGGAAAGCUGUACCGUGGGUACGGCGCUCAAGGAUGGGCUCACGUCCUAUCAGCUUGUUGGUAGGGUAACGGCCACCAAGGCUACGACGGGUAGCUGGUCUGAGAGGACGAUCAGCCACACUGGCACUGCGACACGGGCCAGACUCCUACGGGAGGCAGCAGUGAGGAAUAUUGCGCAAUGGGCGAAAGACCUGACGCAGCGACGCCGCGUGGGGGAGUGAAGGU
rnacentral:rRNA from 1 species